rnacentral:rRNA from 1 species
AACGAACGCUGGCGGCGUGCCUAACACAUGCAAGUCGUGCGAGAAAGUUCCUUCGGGAGCGAGUAAAGCGGCGCACGGGUGAGUAACACGUAGGUAACCUGCCCCCCAGUCUGGAACAACUAGAGGAAACUCUAGCUAAUGCCGGAUGAGACCAUGAUCCCUUCGGGGGUUGCGGCCAAAGAUGGCCUCUACUUGUAAGCUAUCGCUGAGGGAUGGGCCUGCGGGCCAUUAGCUUGUUGGUGAGGUAACGGCUCACCAAGGCUGUGAUGGCUAGCUGGUCUGAGAGGAUGACCAGCCACACUGGGACUGAGACACGGCCCAGACUCCUACGGGAGGCAGCAGUGGGGAAUAUUGCGCAAUGGGCGAAAGCCUGACGCAGCGACGCCGCGUGGGUGAUGAAGGCCUGGUCGUAACGACCUACGUCGUCACGGGAAGGAAGUAAGACGAUCGGUA